UACGAAGGGGGCUAGCGUUGUUCGGAAUUACUGGGCGUAAAGGGCGCGUAGGCGGCCUGUUAAGUCGAACGUGAAAUCCCCGGGCUCAACCCGGGAACUGCGUCCGAUACUGGCAGGCUUGAAUCCGGGAGAGGGAUGCGGAAUUCCAGGUGUAGCGGUGAAAUGCGUAGAUAUCUGGAGGAACACCGGUGGCGAAGGCGGCAUCCUGGACCGGUAUUGACGCUGAGGCGCGAAAGCGUGGGGAGCAAACAGG
rnacentral:rRNA from 1 species